rnacentral:rRNA from 1 species
UACGAAGGGGGGCUAGCGUUGUUCGGAAUUACUGGGCGUAAAGCGCACGUAGGCGGAUACUUAAGUUAGGGGUGAAAUCCCAGGGCUCAACCCUGGAACUGCCUUUAAUACUGGGUAUCUUGAGUUCGAGAGAGGUGAGUGGAAUUCCGAGUGUAGAGGUGAAAUUCGUAGAUAUUCGGAAGAACACCAGUGGCGAAGGCGACUCACUGGACACGUAUUGACGCUGAGGUGCGAAAGCGUGGGGAGCAAACAGG